UACGGGGGGGGCAAGCGUUGUUCGGAAUUACUGGGCGUAAAGGGCUCGUAGGCGGCCAACUAAGUCAGACGUGAAAUCCCUCGGCUUAACCGGGGAACUGCAUCUGAUACUGGAUGGCUUGAGUUCGGGAGAGGGAUGCGGAAUUCCAGGUGUAGCGGUGAAAUGCGUAGAUAUCUGGAGGAACACCGGUGGCGAAGGCGGCUACCUGGACAGAAACUGACGCUGAGGCGCGAAAGCUAGGGGAGCAAACAGG
rnacentral:rRNA from 1 species